GGGGAAAAUUAAUAAAUUAAAUUUAAUAAAAAAAAUUUUAAUAUUAAAAAGAAGAACGGGGGUUUAAGUAUUUUUAAUAGAAAAAAUUAAUAGUUUUAUAGUUAAAUAUUACUGUAAAGGAAUUUAUAAAUAAAUGAAAUAUAAUUAAUAAAAAAGUAAAUUUAAAUUAUUGUAUCUUGUGUAUCAGAGUUUAUUAAAUAAUAAUAAUUUAUUUAAAUAAAUCUCGAAUUUAAAAGAGUUAAUUAGUUAAAAAAGUUAAUGUUGUAUAAUUAUUUUAAAUAGCUAAUUAGAAAUGAAAUGUUAAUCGUUUUUAAAUAUAUCUAGUUUUUUCAGAAAAAAAUUUAAUUUUAAAUUUAAAUAAUUUUAUAAUUAUUUAAUUAAUUAUAAAAAUUUAAAUUUUAAUAUUUUAGGGGAUAAGCUUUAAAUUAAAAAUUUAUAAUUAAUAAAAUGAUUAAAAUUAAAAUUUUUAAAAUUUAUAUUGUUUAAAAAUUAUAGUUUAUUAUAAAAAAUUUUAUUUAAAAAUAAAAUUUAAAAUAAAAAAAAUUUAAAUUUUUAUGAAAAAAUAAUUUAUAAUUUAAUAAAAUUAGAAAUAAUGAUAAAAUUAGUAUAAUAUAAUAAAUUAAAAAAAAAUUAUAGUUAAGUAAGUUAAAGGAAUUCGGCAAAAUUUUAUAUUCACUUGUUUAUCAAAAACAUGUCUUUUUGAUAAUAAUUUAAAGUCUAAUCUGCCCACUGAUAAUAUAUUAAAGGGCUGCAGUAUAUUGACUGUACAAAGGUAGCAUAAUCAUUAGUCUUUUAAUUGAAGACUUGUAUGAAAGAUUUGAUGAAAUAUAAACUGUCUCUAAUUUAUAUUUAGAAAUUAAUUUUUUAGUUAAAAAGCUAAAAUAAUAUUAAAAGACGAGAAGACCCUAUAGAGUUUUAUAUUUUAUUUAAUUAAUAUUAAAUAUAUAAUUAAAUAUAUUAAUAAAAUAAAAUAUUAUAUUGGGGUGAUAGAAAAAUUUAAUAAACUUUUUUUAAAUUUAAACAUAGAUAAAUGAUUAGUUGAUCCAUUAUUAAUGAUUAAAAGAAAAAAUUACCUUAGGGAUAACAGCGUAAUAUUUUUUUUUAGUACAUAUAAAAAAAAAAGUUUGCGACCUCGAUGUUGGAUUAAGAUAAAAUUUAAAUGCAAAAGUUUAAAAUUUUGAUCUGUUCGAUCAUUAAAAUCUUACAUGAUCUGAGUUCAAACCGGUGUAAGCCAGGUUGGUUUCUAUCUUUAAUAAAAAAAAAUAUUUUAGUACGAAAGGAUCAAAUAUUUAAAAUAAUUUUAUAUAAGUGAAUGAAUAUUAAUAAUAUAGUUUAU
rnacentral:rRNA from 1 species